GAUUGCUGCUGAGGGAACAGAGUUGCACAGAGCUUAUCUGUGAGCCUGCAGGUGGAAGUUACAGCCCUGUUUUGGUGAUUUCUGAUGUCCAUUUGCAAUGAAGGGAGCAGCUAGUCGGGGACUAAAGGAAUUUGGAGGUGAGUUUUUUGCUUAAUCAGUUGAAAGCUGAGUGACUUUGAACCCUGAGCAGAAAAGAACCAUUCUUUCAGGCUUAGCUGAGGUCUUGUGUACUGUGGUUACGCAGCAGGGGUAGUCACUUCUUUGCCAGAAUGCUUGGUUCUGUGCUCUCUUGGUGCCUUGUCUAGUCUGCCUGCCAUUCUGAGUUCCCCUAGCUGUAUGCCCUUUUUUCUUUCUUUUUAGGGAGAUGAUUGGCUUCUCUUUGGAAAAGACAGAGCAAGAGGAAAAGCCUCUGUGUUUCCAGAAAGCAAAGAUGGCCUCAAGGAAGACAGUGACCUUCUCUUGGAGCAUGAUCUCUAUCAGCUUUGUCAUCUGGACUGCCCAGGCAUGAUCAUCCAGAGCAAGACUCAAACAGAAGCAUUUGGGGACACUACUGAGUCAUCUUACAUCCCUUUCCUACAUGCUAAUAACUUCUUUGGUAUCCUGCCAGACAGAUGCAACUAUGUCCAAAGCACAAGCUGGUCUUCCUAGUCGGGGAGAGAGUUCAAGGACUGGAGAAACAAGUAUCAGCCCUUCAUUGCAUAAGAGACAACAAAGACAGGCCCACAGAAGCAUAUCCUGACAUCUGCCCAGGCUGCCCAGGCAGACAGUGAGGAAACUGAGCAGCAUGUGACUUCCAAACGACAAGAGAGGAGCAUCCGUGUCCCAGCCACACAAAUACAGAUUAUGCACAAACAAAUAAAUAGAAAAAGGAAGAUGAAGACAGACAUCAGCUGCACAAGCCAACAUUUUCAGUUUCUCAUGUUGACCGGGCUGACCAUCAAUUCAAUUUUUAUUUUAAAAAGCUUCAAUGUUUAACUAAACUAAAAAAAAGCAUAGAUGCUUGUUUCAUUAAAAUAAAAUGUUUGCUGUUAAAGAAAAAAACCAGAAUACAUGUUGUUGCUGUUUUAGUUAAACAAAAGACUUUAAACAUCAGUCCAGUGGUGAUCUCCUCCUAAGAUUAAUGAUUAACCUGUUGAACUAGAGAUAUUUAUGAAGUCACUGGAAGGUGAACUAUCAUCUGCUUCAAUGACCUUUUGUAAAUGAAAUACUCAAUCGAUCAUUCAUUGUCUGAUAUAGCUGUAAAACUAAUCUGAAAAGUUUUCUAAAUAAAUCACUUUAAAAAUGUAUAGCUGCAUCUAUCUCUGAGCAGUGAAAAAUAUGUAGUCAGGUUGUAACAACCAACACAAAUACACUUUUAUGUAGAAAUCCAUGAUCACAUCAAGUCUUCCUGACUGACAAUUGACAUCAAAUCCACCCUGUUGCAGACUAUGUGCUGCCUGGACUCUGAAGAGAACAGGCAUGGAGGCUCCCUGUGGAUAUGCUGGGCUGUUUCCUGCUGGAGAGAUGGUAGAAGGUGGGUGGGCAAAAGCUGCUCCCAGGAGAGAAUAGCUGAGCCGUGGCACUACCUCCCAUUUCUCUCUUGUUGCACUAGGUGUGCCACGCACCUGGCCUUUCCCUCAGGCAGCAAUCCCCACCACCACAUUCCCCAGUCCACCAAUUCACCCGAGUCCUGAGAUAAACUGGCACUGCAGCUGUCGCUCUCUGUGACCGUCAUUCCAUGCUGGGAUCCUCCAGUCUGACAUCAGAGUCCGUGCAGGAGUAGACGCCUGGCAUUUGGUGAGAGUCCAUUGGCUGGAGUACCUGUUCCGGGUGCUGUGCGCAGAUUUCACACUCUUCCGCGAAACCGGGUCUGAAGCACAGAAGUAAGUUAGUUAGUUAGACAACCAAGAAAGUCAGAUUUGUUCUCUGAGAAUUGAGAAAGAUGUGCUCUCAUGAGGCAAACACAGAGCCUCCCUGGGAUCCACCUGUCGACAGGGUGAACAUGCAUGUUUGCCAGUGUCCAACUGUAGACACAGAUGUAGGUCUGUGUAUACUGCUAGACAUCUGUUCGCCAACAGACACAAGUGUCUGUAGUUUACCAGCCCUGAUCCAUCUGGGGCACUAAGGGGUAACUCAUCAGCUAGAAAGAGUUGAUUGCUACCACAUGUUAGUUUGGUACAUAUCUAGUAGGCAUCACCAGCAUGGAUGUUUAAACAAAUGUUGUUGGGCAUCCAUCAGCAAAAGAGCCGUAACUGGUGGAAAAUUGCCAGAAAGCUUCUAAAUACUCAAAAUAGUACUUUGGAAAACACUUACUUAGCUCCAGGUGAUGGAUAUAUUUCGUGCAUUUUCCUGUUUUUUUGUGUGUCUUCCAUUAGAGCAAGAGUCUGUAGUCAAUUGUAUAACAUGAUACAACCAUCAAAAUAUUUGUUGUCGUCAUUUGUAGAAUGGACUGAUUUGAGAAACUGUCCGCUAUAUUUAGGAAGUUAUGCAUAUAUUUAGACUCCCUGCCUCCUCUUUAUAAAGCAUAUAUUGUUGAUAUUAUCUGCUCAGCUGGAGACAUAAGUAAGUAAGUCUAAAGCGACUGGAAUUAUCACUAAAUACAAGGACAAUCCA